GGCGGUGCGCCUUAUGCAUGCAAGUCGAGCGAAGCUUUUCAGUAGUUUACUACAGAAAAUGACUGAGCGGCGAACGGGUGAGUAACGCGUGAGCAAUCUACCUUAGUUACAGGGAUAGCCCGAGGAAACUCGGAUUAAUACCUGAUAUUCUUUAUAUUUCGCAUGAAACUAAAAGGAAAGGUCAGCCGAACUAAGAUGAGCUCGCGUUCUAUCAGCUAGUUGGUGAGGUAAAAGCUCACCAAGGCUACGACGGAUAGCUGGUCUGAGAGGACGAUCAGCCACACUGGGACUGAGACACGGCCCAGACUCCUACGGGAGGCUGCAGCAGGGAAUAUUGCGCAAUGAGCGAAAGCUUGACGCAGCGACACCGCGUGUGGGAUGACGGAUCUAGGUUUGUAAACCGCUUUCAGGAGGGAAGAAAAUGACGGUACCUCCACAAGAAGCCCCGGCCAACUACGUGCCAGCAGCCGCGGUAAUACGUAGGGGGCGAGCGUNGUCCGGAUUUAUUGGGCGUAAAGAGCUCGUAGGCGGUUCAACAAGUCGGUCGUGAAAGUUCAGGGGCUCACCCUGAAAUGUCGAUCGAUACUGUUGUGACU
rnacentral:rRNA from 1 species